rnacentral:lncRNA from 1 species
UGUGCUCUGUUGGUAAUAAUUAACAGUGACUUGAUAAUUGCUAGAUAUGCGCAUUAAGGUUUCAAGAAAGUGGGAUAAUUUUACAGCAUUAAAUCUAAAUGUUGUGUUUGGUUGCUAGCCAGUAAGCUGGCAGCCCUUUGUUAGAAAUUACUACCAUUCCGGUGAUUAUGUCUUUUGUUUAGUCCUUUGUUAAGUAAGCUAUUGUUGCAGUUGACCUGACUGACUUUAAUUUGCAACUUUCAGGUGUGGAACCUCGCUGCCAGGAAGUGCCUGACUCGGCCUUCCCAGAGGACGAAGACAUGGGGUCAAGCCGCUGUGUGAGCCCAACGCCACCACCAAGGACAUCUACACCAGUCCCAGCGGAGAGUGCUGCUCUUUGCAGCACCACCAACCCCACCUAUCCACGGCCUUUUGCCUUUGCCAAAAGAAGUAGGGCCAGUGACGUUGCAGCGAGCAUCCGGGAAAUGCAGGCAUCCGAGGAGAGGCGGCAGGAGCGGGAAGAGGAGCGGCUGGACCAUAGACACCGGGUCGCUCGAGAGGAGGCCCUACAGGAUGCCAUGGAUGCUCGACUGCACGAGGAUCAACGAGCAAUGCAGCAGAUGGCGCAAGUUGCAGCCUUCAACACCGCCUUCCUCCAAAGCUUCAGCCAGAUGGUGCAGGCGUUUGGACACCGCGACCCUGUUCCGUGAUCCAGCCAUUCAGGGCCUGACCCUCUGAACCUUUUUUUUUUUUUUUGUGCGAAUACGUUGUUUUUUUUACUGUAAAUAUUCCUGUAUUUUUUCUCUUUAAUAAAAAAUAUAUACUAAAGCAGGAGUUGCUUUUUACACAUUUUCCAUAUGCACAUUUUAUGGUCACCUUGAAGUUGAGUUUACACACCCACAGUUCGGGAUGUCUCACAUUUCACACAUGGGGAAAGUGGACAGCAUUGCAUAACUUUUCAAUUAAAAUAGGGGAAACCAGUAAGAUGCCUUCUCAUCAGCUUUUAACACGAUCCAACCCCACAUCCUGGCAAGCCGGCUUUUAGAAAAAUUCAACCUAGGUUUUAAUCUUGUGGGCUGGAUUGUGGAUUUUUUAACUGAAAGGACACUGAGUCAGGGUUAAUGGAGUACUGUCCAGCCAACUCUGCUCCUCUACUGGUUCACCACAGGGAUGUGUGCUGUCACCCUUACUUUUCAUCCUGUACACCAACAUGUGUUAAAGUAAAUAUGCAAACAGGACCAUAAUCAAG